rnacentral:lncRNA from 1 species
AUGCUCUUGCUAAUUCAAGCAUACAUGAACAGUUAAUACCCAAAGGGCAUUCAGCAGUUCCCAAGUAAACUUUAACACCAUUAGGACACAACUCGCCCAACACGUCUUACAAAAUCUACAUCCUGGUCAUCCAUAAAUUUCUUAGUUUCACUAUCAUCAGUGUUUCUCAAGUUGAAAAUAUCAUUUAUAAAUUCAGCAUCAAAGCGAAUGAUUUUACCUCUUACGGUUGAAGAACGACUUACUGGAUUAAGAUUGUUGUAGAACUCCAGAACUAUGUUG